CCUACGGGGGGCUGCAGUGAGGAAUAUUGGUCAAUGGGCGCGAGCCUGAACCAGCCAAGUCGCGUGAGGGAGGACGGCCCUACGGGUUGUAAACCUCUUUUGCCGGGGAGCAACGGGCACCACGUGUGGCGUCACUGAGAGUACCCGGAGAAAAAGAAUCGGCUAACUACGUGCCAGCAGCCGGGGUAAUAAGGAGGAUGCGAGCGUUCUCCGGAUUUAUUGGGUUUAAAGGGUGCGUAGGCGGAUCGUUAGGUCAGUGGUCAAAUUGAGUGGCCCAAACCCUUCCCGCCAUUGAAACUGGCGUUCUUGAGUGGAAGAGAAGGAUGCGGAAUGCGUGGUGUAGCGGUGAAAUGCAUAGAUAUCACGCAGAACCCCGAUUGCGAAGGCAGCAUGCCGGCUUCCGACUGACGCUGAAGCACGAAAGCGUGGGGAUCGAACAGGAUUAGAUACCCGGGUAGUC
rnacentral:rRNA from 1 species